ACUUGAUGUCUAGGGCAUUUAUGCAGAAGAUCCCUAAAGCGCUCCCAAGUCUCGAAAAAUUGUUCCCUAUCUAUUUGUGAGAAAGUAGUGAUUGCAUUCCUCAAGU